rnacentral:lncRNA from 1 species
UCAGAAGCACGUGCGCCUUACGUAAUUUCCUGUUAUUCUUCGGUUUGCCUCCUCCCAGUGGCGUGGAUUUGCUCCCGACCCGCUUUUGGGGCGUGCCUGCUUCCUCCUCUCUGUUAGGCUGGAGUGAAAUGGCACAAUCUUGGCUCACUGUAACCUCCGCCCCCAGGUUCGACUGAUUCUCGUGCCUCAGCCUCCUCAGUAGCUGGGAUUACAGAUGAGCCCCAGAGAGGCGAAGCCACUUGAGCUCGUGAGUGACAGUCAGAUGUCAAGCCCUGCUCUUUCUAAAGCGUGCUGCCUUCAGAAAAGAAGAGCCAGAAGGAUGGAAAUUACUUCAGAAAGAUGAAUACCAGCUUUGAAGGAAUAAAAGCUGACGAGGAAUUGAAGGAGUUGAGGCACGAGCUUGAACAGGGUUGCAUGUUUGGCCCUUGAUUGUAAAUGCCCAUUGCUGCACCUGUUCCUGUUACUUGGGGAGUUGCAGCAGAAGGAACAGCGGCCUGGGACUCCAGAGAACUGGGUUCCCUCUCAUCCCUCCAGGGCCACCACUUCUUGUGGGCCCUUGGGCAAGUCACUGUACUUUCUGAGUCUCAGUUUCCCCAUUUGCAGAAUGGAAAUAACUACCCCGGUCUACCAACUUAGAAGAAUUGCUUUGAGGAUCUGAUAAGGUGGUGUGGAUGAUGCUGCCUUGGGGGCUUUACAGUCUGGAGCUCAAGGGACCCCUUAAGUUGGGCUUACUUAGUAACUCCAGGGGUGGGCAGAACAGGACUCCAAUGAGGGUUUUUUUCUUUUUCCCUUUUUUUUCUUUUCCUAUCUCUUAACUUUUAUCUUUAUUAUUUUACAAUGCCCUUGUAAGAUGAAACAAGUGAUGCUGAAAUAUCUUUUUCUUUUUUAACCUUUAUUUUAGAAUUGGGGUACAUGUGCAGGUUUGUUACAUAGGUACAGUGUGGGCUGCUGAGGUUUGGGAGUACGAAUGAAUUAGUCACCCCAGUGGUGAGCAUAGUGCCCGAUAAGUGGUUUUUUCAACCCUUACUCCCAUCCCUCUCCAUUCUUGUGUUCCCCAGUGUCUGCUGUUCCCAUUUUUAUGACCAUGUGUACUCAAUGUUUAGCUCCCACUUAGAAGUAAGAACAUGCCCAGCACUUUGGGAGGCCGAGGUGGGUGGAUCAUGAGGUCAAGAGAUCGAGACCAUCUUGGCUAACAAAGUGAAACCCUGUCUCUACUAAAAACAUAAAAAAUUGGCCGGGUGUGGUGGUGGGCACCUGUAGUCCUAGCUACUCGGGAGGCUGAGACAGGAGAAUCGCCUGAACCGGGGAGGUGGAGGUUGCAGUGAGCUGAGAUUGUACCACUGCACUCCAGCCUGGGUGACAGAGUGAGACUCCAUCUCAAAAAAAUAAAAAUAAAAAAAUAAAAAGAA